UAUUCACUUUGUUUUCCUUAGCCACAUCGAUAAAUUUAUGCAGGCCUACAAUAAAUACGGAACUGCGUCGUUCGCCGUACAUCCAUCGCUUCCGUGCAUCGAUCUGCAUUAUACAUGAAUAGUGAAAUGAUCACCGUACAUGGACACAUGCAAUAUUUUUGUAUCAAUUACACAUGAAAAGGAUAAGGUUGCUAACCUCAGUCGAGGAUACCAUUUUGUGUGAACUUAAGUGUGACUCGGGCAUUAGUCCAGGUUCGUAAUGUACUCCGAAGUGCGUCGGUUACCGUACAUCCAUUGGCGGUUCAUC
rnacentral:lncRNA from 1 species